AGUGAACGCUGGCGGUAGGCCUAACACAUGCAAGUCGAACGGCAGCACAGUAAGAGCUUGCUCUUACGGGUGGCGAGUGGCGGACGGGUGAGGAAUACAUCGGAAUCUACUUUUUCGUGGGGGAUAACGUAGGGAAACUUACGCUAAUACCGCAUACGACCUACGGGUGAAAGCAGGGGAUCUUCGGACCUUGCGCGAUUGAAUGAGCCGAUGUCGGAUUAGCUAGUUGGCGGGGUAAAGGCCCACCAAGGCGACGAUCCGUAGCUGGUCUGAGAGGAUGAUCAGCCACACUGGAACUAAGACACGGUCCAGACUCCUACGGGAGGCAGCAGUGGGGAAUAUUGGACAAUGGGCGCAAGCCUGCUCCAGCCAUACCGCGUGGGUGAAGAAGGCCUUCGGGUUGUAAAGCCCUUUUGUUGGGAAAGAAAAGCAGCAGGUUAAUACCCCGCUGUUCUGACGGUACCCAAAGAAUAAGCACCGGCUAACUUCGUG
rnacentral:rRNA from 1 species